rnacentral:misc_RNA from 1 species
AACCGCGCUGGCGACCAUCGCGGUCUGGCUUCGAGGCUAACGCGUAUAAAAACGUCCAUAUAACGCGGAUUACCGGCAGUCAUUGCGACGGCAGUAUCUUUCCGGCGUGAUAUGCGGGGCGCCGCGUCGCGCGUCGCCGUCGUCAUCGUUAUCGUCGCGAUCGUGGACUAAAGAUUAUAAUCGCUCGUGGCUCGCUCGAGGUCUCCGCUCGGGGAGGAGAGGAUGCCGGUGAAAGUGGACGUGGUGCCGCCGCCACCCGCAAACUCCAAGCAGCCAGGUGUCACGAAGUCCUUGCUGUACAACGGCUCGCGCUUCCAGGGCUCGCAGAAGUCCAAGGGCAACAGCUACGACGUAGAGGUGGUUUUGCAGCACGUGGACGAGGAGAACAGUUAUUUGUGCGGAUACUUGAAAAUCAAGGGUCUGACGGAGGAGUUUCCGACGCUGACGACCUUCUUCGACGGCGAGAUCAUCUCCAAGAAGUACCCGUUCCUCACCCGCAAGUGGGAUGCUGACGAGGAUGUUGACAAGAAGCACUGGAGUAAGUUCGAGUCGUUCUGUCAGUAUGCCAAAACAUUCAAUUCCGACACGUUCGAUUACGAGGCACUGAAGGGAACCGACUUUGUAUUUAUGAGGUGGAAAGAACACUUUCUGGUUCCUGACCACACAAUCAAAGAUAUCAACGGUGCCUCCUUCGCGGGAUUCUACUAUAUUUGCUUCCAAAAAUCAGCCGCCUCAAUAGAGGGCUUUUAUUAUCAUCGUAGUUCUGAAUGGUAUCAGUCGUUGAAUCUGAAACAUGUGCCGGAACAUAGUAUACAAAUUUACGAGUUCAGGUGAAGUCGAUACCCUCGCUGAGAAAAUCUCGAUAUUCAAGUCUUUUCCCCCUGUAGCAUGCAGAUCUCGUAAGAAUUUGGCGUACAAAUUUCAUCACGACCUUUUGUGAAAAGCUCGCGUUUGUGUUUAAUCGUGACACUGCAGUGACGAGGCUGUCUACGAUGAAACGAUGGAAUUUGAUGAACCAAAUGACGUUAUACAAUCCAUAUGGUACUGACCAUAGAAAUCUUACCAUUUCCUUUGUGCUGUUCCCUUCUUAGUCAACGGAGAGAUUCGUGAAGGAUAGCGAAUGAUUGAACUCCUUAUUUGAUGAUAUUAUCGAUCUUCAGAUUAUUUGUACUCGUUGUACUCGUGCUGGCAUUGUAAAAGGUCUUUGGUCUACAGUCUGUGCAUGAUUCAACAUUGACAUGUGUUCGAUACUGUGAAAUCAUGUCUGUUUCUUUCGUUCUCAAAGCGACACGCCCGAAUUGCGCGUGACGAUGCAAAUUGAAGAAAAAACCUGAUGAGAGUCUACAUUUUUAGAAAUCACACACGAUUGUAUGAGAAUUAUGCCCGUCAAAUCUCUUGAUUUUGUGCUCGAGCGUCUAUGAGAUCUGUCUGCUAUAUUACGGAAGGCCGUGUGUAAUUGUUGUAAUUCAAAUGAGCUGGACAUAUAUCGUAGGAAGAAGAAGAAGAAGAAGAAGAAGAAGAAGAAGAAGAAGGAAGAAGAAGAAGAAGAAGAAGAGAUAAUCUUGAAAGUUAUUUAAGAAAAAGAUUAAGAGAGAAAGAGAGAGAGCAUCUUGAGAUAUCGAGGUUUGACCUGUAUAUUUUAUGUUGGAGAUAUAUUUAUUUUAUGCAGUCGAUCUUUGUCGGACUCUAAUAUUUUAUACGUACAUACAUGUGCGAUAUGUGUAUGUGUGUGCGCAUAAUACGUGUAUACGCACACACACACACACACACAUUUGAUUUUAAGACUAGGCAGUAGACAUAUGUUGAGGCUGUUUAUAAAACUUGUCUUCACGUUUCGAUUGAGUGUUAAUUAAAUAUUAAUUCUCUUAGGGAGAUAGCGCAUUGUUGUGAUAAGCAUUACGAUAAUAUACGCAUAUAUAUAUAUAUAUAAUGUAUAUAUAUAUAUAUAUAUAUAUACACGCAUAUAUAUAUAUUAUAUAUAUAUAUACGGAUGUAUAUAAGUUUACGGAUUAUAACGUGACUAAUAUAUAUAGCUUAACGGAGAGUUGUGCGUUCGGCAUACCGCAGCUUUCGUUUGUGAGGUUCACAAAAAAAAAAGAAGACUCUUCUCUCGACGACACCCGGUGAUACCGAUACUCCGGCGACGA